CACACCCCUCCUCCUUGCUUUGAAAAAGCCUCCGGGAGCCCACCAGGCGCUGGGAGGUGGACGUGUUUGUGAGGCAGGUGAGCACCACCCACACGGUGCUGCAGCAGCGACUGGGGCUGCUCGUGCAGCAGGGCUCAGAGGUUCUGUCACUCCUUGCUGUUAGACCUCUCACUUGUUGCUGGUGACACAGACUGGGGUGUGGCAGGGUGUCUCACAGUGGCAGAGAGUGGGAAGGGCCUACAUCUGCGAGAAUGUAUCAACUCUAAUGCCACCAUUACCAAAUUUUAGACGGCAUGGGCUCAUUCCCGUACCAGAUGUUGUUAAUACCUGAUUCAUGCAAAUGGAACUGGGUUUGUGGCAGCCUGCUGCCUGAUCUGACCCCGAGUAGGAAUGGAGUUUGGUGGGCACAAUUAGAAAGAGGGGUCUGAACACCACUGUCUUCAAGGUUGAAAUUUGAAAUGCCAACCCUGCAUUCUCAGAGGCCCAGAUACAGUCUGGUGUCACCUUACAUGGAGCUGCUCUCUGUUCCUUUGAGGAUCGUGGACUAUUUUGCAAGCUGCGUAAUCAGAACUAGUUGCUCUGGAAAAUCCUGGAUGUGUCUCUAGACUUUGUCAGAGAAAGCCAGGACAAAAACAUUGGCCUGGAAUACGUCACUAAACAGAAUAAAAAUUAAUGUCUGCUAGGCAUAGAAUGGUUGUUACCAAGAAAAUAUCCAGUGAUUCUUGUUGACCUCCAGGACACCUGACACAGAAACUUCUACAUUAGUGACAAUGAAGUGCUGCAGUUGAAGGCAUUACCUUCGUGAUAGUGAAGGGGAAAAGAUGGAGUCAACACCUGCUGAAGCACAGCGUGGAGCUCACCUGAAGACCCUGUGAUUAUUAGUUACACCCACAGAGCAAAGGCACGACAAAUAUUUCAACCUUGUGAAACCUUCGUGUAUUUCCUAAGCCUCACUGAAAAUAAACCUAGCCCUCAGCUGUGCAGCUGGGGAAGUGGUGGUUGUAUAGUAUACUUCCACGGAGCCAUCCCACCAAGCCUGGAUGUGCAGGAACAGAGCGAGGUGUGCCACUGAAACAACCCCUCUUCAUGCUGCAUCAGCCACAUCAAGAUUUCUAGAUAGCUCAGUUCUGGCCUAUGGAAAAAGAACACAAAAGGAAAAGGAUACAACUGAUUAUGAAUGAAGGUACAUGCUGAAGUGGCACAGGUAAAUUAUGGCGGAGUAAGUAUCCAGCACUGUCAGAAGAGGGCAGCUUCUUAGAGGCCCUUAAAAUCUCUGAGACAUUGCCUUUAAGGGCAGCAGUAGGUGUCCUUGCUGACACGGUGACAGAAAUUCAGCAUCUCACCUGGGCAGUGGAGAGAAGGUGGCUCUUCUCCAUGUGCUCAGGUCUCUGGGGGUAAGGUUGGGGCUGGGUGCAAGUCUAGACCCUCUUGACUUUCUGCUAAUGCUUCUGUGGUGCAGCAUGUUCUACAUAUAAAACACGUGUUCACUUCGAAAAUGCGUCCAUUGGUGUGGAAAUCUGCUCACGCUGUAAUCCAACACAGACACUGGACAGCAGAUUGGGUUGGAUUUUGGAAAAAAGCUAGUUGCUGUUCAUAUACACAAUGGAAACAGAGGUCUCUUGGAAACAGGAGCAUUUAUCUGGGUCCUUAAACAGAAGCUGUGGGUCACUAAUAGGAAAUGGGGUGCUGUGGGCAGUGCCUGGAGAGUAAGGAGAGCAAGGUAAAGACAUCCAGACAAUUACAGUUUUACAUUGGCAUCAUGUAGAAUGGAAAACCCAACAGUCUGAAAGGCUACAACACUGAUUCUGUAGCACAUUCACAGAAUCACAGAAUGUUAGGGAUUGGAAGGGACCUCAAAGGAUCAUCUAGUCCAAUCCCCAUGACAGAGCAGGAACACCUAGAUGAUGUUACACAGGAAGGAGUGCAGGCAGGUUUUUAAUGUCUCUAGAGAAGGAGUUUCUUCUCAUGCAUAAGUGGAACCUCCUGUGUUCCAGUUUUUAUCCAUUACCCCUCAUCCUAUCAUUGGUUGUCACUGAGAAGAGCCUGGCUCCAUCCUCGUGACACUCACCCUUUAUAUAUUCCUAAAUAUUAAUGAGGUCACCCAUCAGUCUCCUCUUCUCCAGGCUAAAGAGAGCCAGUUCCCUCAGCCUUUCCUCAUUAGAGAGAUGCUCCACUCCCUUAAUCAUCUUCGUGGCUCUGCGCUGGACUCUCUCCAGCAGUUCCCUGUCCUUCUUGAACUGAGAGGCCCAGAACUGGACACUAUUCCAGAUGCGGUCUCACCAGGGCAGAGUAGAGGGGGAGGAGAACAUCUGUCAACCUACUAACCACCUCCCUUCUUAUACACCCCAGGAUACCAUUGGCCUUCCUGGCCACAAGGGCACAGUGCUCACUCAUGGUCAUCCUGCUGUCCACCAGGACACCCAGGUCUCUUUCCCCUACACUGCUCUCUAACAAGUCAUUCUCCAACUUAUACUGGAACAUGGUGUUGUUCGUGCCCAGAUGCAAGACUCUACACUUGCCCUUGUUAUAUUUCAUUAAAUUUUUCCCCGCCCAACUCUCCAGCCUGUCCAGGUCUCACUGGAUGGCAGCACAGCCUUCUGUCAUGUCAGCCACUCCUCCCAGCUUGGUGUCAUCAGCCAACUUGCUGACAGGGCACUCUAUUCCCUCAUCCAAGUCGUUGAUGAAUAUAUUGAAUAAUCCUGUUCCCAUUACUGACCCUUGAGGGACUCCCCUAGAUACAGGCCUCCAACUAGACUCUGCCCCAUUGACCACGACUCUCCGGCUUCUUUCCUUCAGCCGGUUCAACCUGAUCAUCCAGACCACACUUCCUCAGUUUAGCUGUGAGGAUGCUGUGGGAGACUGUGUCAAAUGCUUUACUGAAGUCAAGGUAGACCACAUCCACUGCUCUGACAACAUCUGGCCACGUCAUUAUGUCCUCAUAAAAGGCUGGUCAAGCACAACUUCCCCUUGGUGAAGCCAUGUUGACUGCCCCUAAUGACCCUCUUAUCCUUGAUAUGCAUUGAGAUAGCACCGAGGAUAAGUUGUUCCAUCACUUUCCAAGGGAUGGAGGUGAGGCUGACCGGUCUAUACUUACCCAGGUCCUCCUUCUUGCCCUUUUUGAAGACUGGAGUGACAUUUGCUUUCCUCCAGUCCUCAGGCACCUCUGCCAUUUACCACGACUUAGCAAAGAUGAUGGGGAGUGGCUUAGCAAUAACUUCAGCCACCACCCUCAGCACCCGCAGGUGCAUCCCAUCUGGACCCAUGGAUUUAUGGAUUUCCAGAUUGCCUAAUUGCUCCAUAACCCAGUCCUCAUCAACCAAGGCAGACUCCUCAAUUGUCUUGACUUCCUUUGGGGCCUCAGUGGUAGGGGGCUCCUCAGGACAGCAUCCGGUAGUGUAGACAGAGACAAAGAAAGCAUUCGGUAACUCUGCCUUCUGUCACCAGUGCACCCACCUUGUUCAUCUGUGGGCCUGCAUUGCCUCUGGUGCUAGUUUUAUCUGCCAUGUAUUUCCAAAAGUUCUUUCUGUUGUUCUUGACUCCUCUCGCCAGGUUUAGUUCUAAGGAAGCCUUAGCUUUCCUAGUUGCCUCCCUACAUCCUCUGACAGCAGCCUUGUAUUCUUCCCAAGUGGCCAGCUCCUCCUUCCAUGAUCUAUAAACUCUCCUCUUCCACUUGCGCUUACUCAGGAGUUCCCUGUUUAACCACACAGGUCUCCUGGCUCCCUUCCUUGACUUCCUAUGUGUCGGGAUGCUCUGUUCUUGAGCUUGGUAAAAGCAGUCUCUGAAUGCUAGCCAACUAUCUUGGGCCCCUUUUCCUUCAAGCAGCCUUGCCCAUGGGAUUUCCCCCAGCAAUUGUUUGAAAAGGUCAAAGUUUGCCCUGCUAAAGUCCAGGGUUCCCAUUCUGCUUGGUAUUCUGCUCCUGCCACAUGAGGUCCUGAACUCCAUCAUUUCAUGGUCGCUGCAAUCACGACAGCCCUCAACCUUUACUGCUUCAACCAGACCCUCCUUGUUAGUGAGGAUGAGAUCCAGCAGUGUACCUCUCCUAAUCGGCCCCUCCACCAUUUGCAUCAGGAAGUUAUAAUCAAUGCACUGGAGGAACCUCCUGGACUGUGGCUGGCUGGCUGAGUAGUCCUUCCAGCAAACAUCAGGGUAGUUAAAAUCCCCCACAACAACCAGGGCCUGUGACUGUGAGGCUGCUCUCAGGCUGCCUGUAGAAGGCCUCAUCAACUUCCUCACCCUGAUCUGGUGGCCUGUAAUAGACACCCACAACAGUAUUACCCCUGCCAGCCUGCCCCUUAAUUCUCACCCAUAGACUCUCAACUCACUCAACUCAAUACAUUGUAGUUGCUCUGUCAGGUAAAGAGCAACUCCACCACCUGGCCUGGCUGGCCUGUCUUUCCUGAAAAGGGCAUAGCCAUCCAUGACCACAUUCCAGUCCUUUGAGCUGUCCCACCAUGUCUUUGUAACUGCCACCAGAUCAUAAUCUCCUGAACAAACACAGGUUUCUAACUCCUCCUGCUUAUUCCCCAUGCUGUGUGCAUUGGUGUCCAGGUAUUUCAGGGAGUGAGCUGAGUACACUGAUUUCACCCUAGGGGGAUGGGAAGCCUCCCGGUCUUCAUCAAUACUAGAGUGCUGCCCCACUGGUGCAAGCCCAGCUUACAACCCCAUCUGCCUUCAAAUCUAGUUUAAAGCUCUCCAAAUGACUCCUGCUAAUUCCUGUCCUAGCAUCCUUUAGCCCCUUCAAGAUAAUCCUUUCCCAUGUAUUACUGUCUGGGCUGGUGUCUUAUAAAACCAGGCAUUAUCAAAGAAUCCAAAGCCCUGUCCGUAGCACCAGUUUUGUAGCCAAUCAUAUAUGGACUGAAUUUUUCUAUUCCAUCCCACAUCAUCACCCGAAAUUGGAAGGAGGGAAGAGAAAAUAACUUGCACCCCAGACUCUUUCACCAUCCAUCCCAAUGCCUUAAAAUCUUUCUUCAUUCCCCUCAAACUACGGGACGCAGCUUCCUCCCCACCUGUCUGGAAGAUCAGCAGUGGGUAGUAGUCUGUUGGGUACACCAGACUGGGGAGUGCCCUGGUGAUGUCCCUGAUCCGGGCUUCAGGUAGACUACACACUUCCUACGAUAAGGGUCAACUCUGCAUAUUUGGCCCUUUGCCCCUCUCUGUAGGGAAUUGCCUACUACAAUUACCCUUCUUUCUUUCUUAUCGGAGGCAGUCUUGAGGUGUGGAGUCAACUGCCUCUUCCUAUGUGACCUUGUAGGCAGGCCUUGCACCACAUCAUCACGUACCUCUUCUUCAAGAUCCAGGGCCUCAAACCUAUUAAAGAGGGGAACCUGGGGAAGCAAAGCAGGUAGGGAGGGGGGUUGCCCAUGGUGCCAAACUGGAACUUGCUUCCAACCCUCAUAUUUUUGGUCCCCUACCUCUGCCCGACAGGACAGGGGGUCCGUCACCUUUUGGGGGGUGUCUCCCUGGGACCUUUCUGACUGGAAUGGUAGGGAGUUACUCCACCAGUUGAUCUCCUUUUCAUACUCCCUGAGGGACAUCAGUGUCUCAACCUCCUCAAGUUUCACGACCACGCGGAGCAGAUCUUACACCUGCUCACACCUCACUCAGGUGGAAUGCUGGCUGCCCUCCCCUGGCAGCAGCAGGCUCUGGCACUCCCUGCAGCCAGAAAACUGAACAGCCAUGGUUCGGGGCAGGGCCUCCGUCUGGGUUGCCACAGUCUUUUUGUGACAAGCUGUCUUUCUGGAGGAGACCAUGGUUAGCAGCAGUCUGGGACACUGGCAAUAGGUGAGAGGGUGCAUCAAGCAAAAAGUUACAACCUCUGCGCCCUGCUGCAUGAGCUGCCACACUCGCUUUCGCAGCACAAUGUGGGUGGUACUCACUCGCUUCACAAGCUGGUUGCCCCUCCCAGCGCAGGGUGGGCAGAUGCAUCACUGCCCUCUCGGAAGCUUUUUCAAGGUGAGGGGCGGGGGUGUGAUCAACUACUUUAUGCUGAUGAUAUCCUACCGUUAAUUAAACACUCGCAUGCUUCCCCUCCUGCUUAUAAUGAAUAUUGCUCUCUGAGUACAAAGUUAUCAUUGCACAAAAUUAAUGACCCUGAGACUGCAGUGAUGCAGCUUUCUGGAGUUUGCCCUUCAGCCCUGCUCACCUCAUGGAAUCUUAAGUGGACACUCAAAAUAUAAUACAAAUACUUAGGGACUGAUAGUAACAAAGCCCCAGACAAUGUAAUAAAAAAUAAUUUAAAUCCAAUUAUCAAUUAUAGGAAAGAAUUUGAAGAGGUAGCUAGAGCUAAAUAAAAGCAAACAUGCGUGAUUCAGUAGGCCAGAUUCUGCCUUCAUUUGCAGUCCCAUCAGGUUGUUAAAGUAGAAAAGAGAACAAUCAUGUAAGUCAGCACCCUCGGAGUCAUAGUCAUAAAUGAUCUCAUGACAGUAUUUCCUACUGGCAGCAACAGUUGUGCAUGUUUUGAGCUUACUUUGAACAUGAGUGUACAUGAAGAGCUGUAAAUAUGAGAAGUUAUUACAAUUAUAACAAUUAUAUUCCCAACCCACACAUUAAAGAAACAGACAUACAGAUAGAAAUGCUUUACUGACUACAGAUACUGAGCUGUUUUUUUAAGUGUUCAUGGUGGAUCACACAGGUGCCACACUCAGCACUACAGAAUUUGCCAAAACCUAAACUGUACUGCCAAGUUCAUGUUUACCCAUAGCCCAGGCUUCUGAUGCUCUAAACCAGCAAGUUUCCUUACAAGCCAGCAUAGAACUUCCUGAAUAGCUACAAUAAAUACCAUAGGUUUCAGGUGACAGAAAUCUCAGGAUGUGAGGAUGAAUUAAAGAUGCCAUAGGAGACAUUUGAAAAGUACUUAGAGCUCUCAGGAUGAGAAAUGUUAAUAUUCUCUCUAAAUAUAAUAUAAUUGGUCCAGUUUUGUGCACCAAAAACAUGUGGAUUUUUAUGGGUUUUUUACUUCCAAAAGGGAUCAUUUUUGAAUGGAAAUGGCUGUAGUUUAGGUAAGCUUGUCCUGCCUCACACUGUAAACUAGUAUUACUGUUAAGCAAAGGUUGCAUUUCAGCAGUUGCUUGAAUAGAAAUACCUUUCUGAAAAGCUUGUGAAAUCCUUUGUGAUUAAAGGAAUUAUAUACAUGUAAA